rnacentral:rRNA from 1 species
GAUGAACGCUGGCGGCGUGCCUAAUACAUGCAAGUCGAGCGAACAGACGAGGAGCUUGCUCCUUCGACGUUAGCGGCGGACGGGUGAGUAACACGUAGGUAACCUACCUAUAAGACUGGGAUAACUUCGGGAAACCGGAGCUAAUACCGGAUAAUAUUUCGAACCGCAUGGUUCGAUAGUGAAAGAUGGCUUUGCUAUCACUUAUAGAUGGACCUGCGCCGUAUUAGCUAGUUGGUAAGGUAACGGCUUACCAAGGCAACGAUACGUAGCCGACCUGAGAGGGUGAUCGGCCACACUGGAACUGAGACACGGUCCAGACUCCUACGGGAGGCAGCAGUAGGGAAUCUUCCGCAAUGGGCGAAAGCCAGACGGAGCAACGCCGCGUGAGUGAUGAAGGUCUUCGGAUCGUAAAACUCUGUUAUUAGGGAAGAACAAACGUGUAAGUAACUGUGCACGUCUUGACGGUACCUAAUCAGAAAGCCACGGCUAACUACGUG